ACGGUAUAUCCAAUUUUUCAGCUUCUUCGGAAAGCUUAUGAGCCAAUUUGAUCCGAGACCUCUUUUAAGCGAGUGGACCUACUUCUCAAAAUCUGCGUAUGGUCGACAAUAGCAUCCGAUAGAGUUGAUGAUUUCUGCUCUCUAAGAUCCAGCAACUUCUUUGUAGCAUAUCUAACAGUACUAUGAGGUUUACUUAAUCCUCCAAGAAGAGACCCACAAAACGAUGGCUUGAUUGAAGAAUUCAGAUUAGACAAACACCCCUCCAAAUCCCAGCCACCCCAGACUUUACUGUCAAAUUCUAAACCAGAGGAUGACGUGGGAUUAACCGUAGGUAUUUGGAAGGAGUUAAAGACGGUUUGGUGGUUUGAAAGUGGACGGUUAUUGCAGAGGAAAAACGAGAAUGAUGCAUGCCUAUCCAAUUUACUCUGCAAAUCUGGAGAGUGCUGAGAACCCAAUCCCUUGGACAAGUUUGCAGAUAUAUCAACUAGCAUGUGCAAACCAAUCGAUUUUUGAGGAAGGAAGUGUUCUAAACAUCUCAUCUGUUGUAGACUUUGGGGGAAAAUCAUACAACCUGCAGCAAGUUUGCUUCGACCCGCUGAGAUGUCGAGAGUCAUGAUUUUGCCAGGUUAUUUUCUACGGCAUAUGAUUGCAAUAUGAUAAUAAGCCUCCUCCUAGUACACCUUAAACCCUGCUCAUUCUCUUUCAGCAAAAACCGGUAAACGUCAUGCUUGCUGUAAUUGCAUUAGCACAUCAAUGUACUAAUCUGGUUAUCGUCAUUGCAGGUAGGACCUUGAUCAUCAUCGCAUCCCAUUGCAUAUACCUGCAAUCAGACUUACAACUUCUAUGCCCCAAAGAUAGACUCCCUGCUGUGAUGUGUGCAUUCUGCUGUCUGCCGAAAUCAAUUAAUGUUCAAAUUUAUUAAUUUUUUUCAGCAAUCCAUUGGCCCAGUCUUGGAGACUCAUUUUUUGACAAGCAUCAAGGGCUCGUUCCAACAUGCGAAGAGCCGUAAGGAAAUUGAAUGAGGCAAAGAGAACUUUGAAUCUAGUGCACACUACAAUGCUGAUUUUGGAAAAGAAUAAAAUCUAAUGUGAAAUUCUCAGAGCCAUGGAUAUGAAACGCAAGCUGCU